rnacentral:rRNA from 1 species
CUACGGGGCGCUCCAGUGAGGAAUAUUGGACAAUGGGGGAAACCCUGAUCCAGCAAUGCCGCGUGUGUGAAGAAGGCCUGCGGGUUGUAAAGCACUUUCGGUUGGGAGGACUGCUUCUAGCACUAAUAUUGUUGGAAGUUGACGUUACCUUCAGAAGAAGCACCGGCUAACUCCGUGCCAGCAGCCGCGGUAAUACGGAGGGUGCAAGCGUUAAUCGGGAUUACUGGGCGUAAAGCGCGCGUAGGCGGCUAGAUCAGUCGGGUGUGAAAGCCCCGGGCUUAACCUGGGAACUGCAUCCGAUACUGUCUAGCUUGAGUACAGGAGAGGAGAGUGGAAUUCCACAUGUAGCGGUGAAAUGCGUAGAUAUGUGGAGGAACACCAAUGGCGAAGGCAGCUCUCUGGCCUGAUACUGACGCUGAGGUGCGAAGGCGUGGGGAGCAAACAGGAUUAGAUACCCUCGUAGUC